rnacentral:rRNA from 1 species
AACGAACGCUGGCGGCAUGCCUAACACAUGCAAGUCGAACGAGACCUUCGGGUCUAGUGGCGCACGGGUGCGUAACGCGUGGGAACCUGCCUUUAGGUUCGGAAUAACACAGAGAAAUUUGAGCUAAUACCGGAUGAUGUCUUCGGACCAAAGAUUUAUCGCCUUUAGAUGGGCCCGCGUUGGAUUAGCUAGUUGGUGGGGUAAAGGCCUACCAAGGCGACGAUCCAUAGCUGGUCUGAGAGGAUGAUCAGCCACACUGGGACUGAGACACGGCCCAGACUCCUACGGGAGGCAGCAGUGGGGAAUAUUGGACAAUGGGCGAAAGCCUGAUCCAGCAAUGCCGCGUGAGUGAUGAAGGCCUUAGGGUUGUAAAGCUCUUUUACCCGAGAUGAUAAUGACAGUAUCGGGAGAAUAAGCUCCGGCUAACUCCGUG